ACAGCUGAGUAGCAAUCAGACCAUCUAAGACUUCAUUUUAGAGACUUGCAAUCCUUUUGCUUUAAACACUUCAAACCAUGUCUGGAGUUAAAGGUCAACAAAAGAAAUGCCAAGAGCAAACCCCACCACAGCCCUGCAAUCCAUGCCCUCCACAGCCCUGUAACCCAUGCCCUCCACCGAAGUGUCAGGAUCCUUGCCCCAAGCCAGUCCCACAAUGCCCAGAUCCAUGUAAGCAACACCAGACCCAUGGAGGUCAACACUGAAAGAAGCAAUGGCACAACUUAUGGACUGCCUGCUAUGAAGAGGCAAUAAUCGACAUACUUUACAUCUUCCUGUACCUACAAAAAAUUACCAAUAUUAAAGUCUGACUCUUAAAAUGUAUCAAUUGCAUUCUAUUCUAUCAAUAAAAUAAUUCAUCGUUUAA